rnacentral:rRNA from 1 species
UGGGCUUGACAUCCCACGAACCUGUGAAAGCAGGCCUUCUGGGCAACCAGACAGGGAGACAGGUGGUGCAUGGCUGUCGUCAGCUCGUGUCGUGAGAUGUUGGGUUAAGUCCCGCAACGAGCGCAACCCUCAUCAGGUGUUGCCAUCGGUUCGGCCGGGCACUCUCCUGAAACUGCCGGAGUAAUCCGGAGGAAGGUGGGGAUGACGCCAAGUCUGCAUGCCCCUUAUGCCCCGGGCUGCACACGUGCUACAAUGGCCAAUACAAAGGGCUGCAAACCCGCGAGGGCAAGCCAAUCCCAAAAAAUUGGUCUCAGUUCAGAUUGUAGGCUGCAACUCGACUGCAUGAAGGUGGAAUCGCUAGUAAUCACGGAUCAGCAGGCCGUGGUGAAUACGUUCCCGGGCCUUGUACACACCGCCCGUCACAUCACGAAAGUGGGCUGUACUCGAAGUCGCUGAGAAUCUC